rfam:Ornithorhynchus anatinus chromosome 2, whole genome shotgun sequence.
AGCAGCGUGGCUCAGUGGAAAGAGCCUGGGCUUCGGAGUCAGAGGUCAUGGGUUCAACUCCCGACUUUGCCA